rnacentral:lncRNA from 1 species
AAAAUCUUCAAUUAACUAUUUUGUAAAAUUCUUCUAUCAUUACAUGAUUUCUUAAUUCAGUACAUGGUCUACACUAUUGUAUUAAAUAAUUAUUUUAUUUUCCGUUGUUAUUCUUUAUAAUUUUGCAAACUUUUUUGUUCAAUUUUGACAUUCGCCAGUAUCCGUUAUUCUGCAACUCCCUUUGAGAUCUAAUUAUAUGUGACAAUAAAUUAAUGUGCUCUCUGAAUUUCGCUUUCUCUCAAGACAUUGCACGGUCUUUGUAGUACAGUGUAUUUUCCAGAAAAUAUAUCGUGUAAAAACAUUUCCAAGGAAACCAAACAUACGGAGGUUGAGAUAUGACAUGAAAACAGAUGUACAUAUUUAUGUUUAAUAUGCCUACAAAAAUACCCCCCCCCCCCCCCCCAAAAAAAAAAACAAGAAAAAAAAACAAUCGCACACAGGCUGAGACAUGACUGGAAAUAUUGUGUUUCUGUUAUUUAGUCCAUCAACACAAAAAAGGGGGACCUUUAACGGGACUCCGGGAUCGGGUGUUUUUAAGCACGGGAUUUUGGGAUUGAUCUGACAUUAUCCAAAGCGCCACCACGCUCUAAGUAACUGAAUGCAUUAUUAGUUUUGGCAUACAAUUUUGGGGAGCAUCCAGUUACUUAGAGUGUGCGAACCCAAAAAGUCGGGUGGGAGGGAGGGAGGGGAAAACCGG